rnacentral:tRNA from 1 species
GCCCUCGUGGCGGAACUGGCAUACGCAUAGCGCUUAGGACGCUAUUCCCGAAAGGGAUUGCAGGUUCGAAUCCUGCCGAGGGCA